CUGUCAUAUUUUGUUUUUUCUGCUGUAAAUGUUUGGGGAGUUUUUGUGUUUUAAGAUUUUCAGGGUUUGGUUUUCCUUCAAUGCUGUCAGCUGGAUUAGUUGGCCAUCAUUUAUCGACAAACAUCACAACUGUUGCUGUCAGUAUCUUUUGAUGGAUGCAGUAAUAAAUCCAGAUGAUUUUUCAUCACUUCAGAGGUGGUCUCUGGAUGAAGUCACUUUUGUUUCUCCUGUGGAAAGAUCCCAGAUGAGAUGCUGAUGAUUCUGAGCUCAGUUUUUUAAGCAGGAGUGACAUACAGCAUCAUUUCUAUAAUAAAGACUGCAACAUGUAAAAAACUCAUCGUGACACCCAGAUUGCUGAAGACUUGGAAACACAAGUGAUGACUUAAAGACCUCAGGACUGGACCCACAGCCUGAUCCUCAGGUUUACACCAAACAGUGUGCAGGCCUGUGAUAUGCCACGGACAAAAGAAGAAGAAAUGAAGCCCACAACCCCAAAUCCCCUAAAUAUUAUUAUUAAAGACAGACACAAAAUAUUUUAAAUGCAAAAUAAAUAAUUUUUUACACAUUGACCUUCAUUAAACAUAUUCAUUUAAACAACAAACUUCAUUAAAACCCCUGGACCCCCUCAUCAGUUCUCCAGUUUAAUAGUCAUCAAAAUAAUGUUUUAUCAGAUAAGUUGUUAUUUUAACAGUGUUUAUUAAACGUUA